ACCGACUUCACCAAUAACAGAAGCCACACACACCUUUCCAAAUUCCCCAGACCUACGCAUAAGAAGUCAUCCAAAUAAUGCAGAAUGGAGUCGCAGCACGCCUCAGUACGCACUACCAAUUCGAAGAAGGAGCUAAAACACUCAAAAUAGAAGCAAGAGAUCAAGCAUCCCAUGGGAAGACACAGACCCACAAAGUAUUGACCAUCAAAACACCCCAAAUGCUGAUGGCACUGAAGGCAGCUUCAAAGUUCGUCAUGGCCAUAAGGACCCCAGGACCCACAUCCCGCACCGCCUCGUCAAAAGACAAGUAGGACACCCUACAAAGCUUCUCCGAGAUGCUGUCAUUCACAGAGCCCCCGAAGGAGUACAAAAGGUGGUGAAUCAGUCGAAAUUUACUUCUUGCAAAAACUGAGGCAUCUGAAAGGGGUCCGCCGUACGUCCCAACGCAACUUCCUUCUCAAGCUUGUCCUUGACCACAUCAGGAUGUUCCCUGACAGAGUGAAGGUUCUGACACUCCGCCGAGGCCCACGGCCCCAGUGGAGAAUCCAAAACCCAUCCCGUCAAUAACAGCGCCGCAGCAUCACGAUUCCCAUACCUAUUUAACCACAGGAGCACCGCAAUGACGCCCACCGGCAUCUACGCCCUUUGAGCACAAGGCAUCAGGCUUCUCCCCCACUUGAAGCACCGCAAAGCGGGGUGGGAUCCCCCGCAGACUGAGCAUUCAUGCUUGAACUUACAACUUGCUCCCCACUUGCACUGGCUCUUGUUGAACUGCCAGCAACAACCAAGGCGACAGGAACCGCAAUCAAUUCACAAUAAACUUCUGGUGCACAUAUGAUAUAGCCC